GACAGAGGGUGCAAACGUUGUUCGGAAUUACUGGGCGUAAAGCGUGUGUAGGCGGCCACGUAAGUCGGAUGUGAAAGCCCCGGGCUCAACCCGGGAAGUGCACUCGAUACUGCGUGGCUUGAGUACUGGAGAGGUUGGUGGAAUUCUCGGUGUAGAGGUGAAAUUCGUAGAUAUCCGGAAGAACACCGGUGGCGAAGGCGGCCUGCUGGGCAGUGGGGGAGACCCCUUCAAGCUGACACUGAGGCGCGACAGCGUGGGGAGCAAACAGG
rnacentral:rRNA from 1 species